rnacentral:rRNA from 1 species
UACGUAGGGUGCGAGCGUUAAUCGGAAUUACUGGGCGUAAAGCGUGCGCAGGCGGUUUUGUAAGCCAGAUGUGAAAUCCCCGGGCUUAACCUGGGAAUGGCAUUUGGGGACUGCAAGGCUGGAGUGCGGCAGAGGAGACUGGAAUUCCUGGUGUAACAGUGAAAUGCGUAGAUAUCAGGAGGAACACCGAUGGCGAAGGCAGGUCUCUGGGCUGACACUGACGCUCAUGCACGAAAGCGUGGGGA